rnacentral:rRNA from 1 species
GCCCAGGGCUACACACGUGCUACAAUGGGUGGUACAAAGAGAUGCAAUCUCGCAAGAGCAAGCAAACCUCAAAAAGCCAUCCUCAGUUCGGAUUGGAGUCUGCAACUCGACUCCAUGAAGUCGGAAUCGCUAGUAAUCGCGGAUCAGCACGCCCGCGGUCGAAUACGUUCCCGGGCCUU